rnacentral:rRNA from 1 species
GACGAACGCUGGCGGCGUGCUUAACACAUGCAAGUCGAACGGAAAGGCCCUGCUUUUGUGGGUUUCUCGAUUGGCGAACGGGUGAGUAACACGCGAGUAACCUGCCCUUGACUUUGGGAUAACUUCAGGAAACUGGGGCUAAUACCGGAUAGGAUCUCUUGCUCCAUGGUGGGGGUUGGAAAGUUUCGGCGGUUGGGGAUGGACUCGCGGCUUAUCAGCUUGUUGGUGAGGUAGUGGCUUACCAAGGCUUUGACGGGUAGCCGGCCUGAGAGGGUGACCGGCCACAUUGGGACUGAGAUACGGCCCAGACUCCUACGGGAGGCAGCAGUGGGGAAUAUUGCGCAAUGGGCGGAAGCCUGAUGCAGCAACGCCGCGUGCGGGAUGACGGCCUUCGGGUUGUAAACCGCUUUCGCCUGUGACGAAGCGUGAGUGACGGUAAUGGGUAAAGAAGCACCGGCUAACUACGUG